rnacentral:rRNA from 1 species
GAUGAACGCUGGCGGCGUGCUUAACACAUGCAAGUCGAACGGAAAGGCGAUGAUUUUGUGGGGUGCUCGUGUGGCGAACGCGUGAGUAACACGUGAGUAAACUGUACUUGUCAUUGGGAUAACAUUAGGAAACUGGGGCUCAUACAGGAUAGGAGCUCCUGCUGCAUGGUGGGGGUUGGAAAGUUUCGGCGGUUGGGGAUGGACUAGCGGCUUAUGCGCUAGUUGGUGGGGUAGUGGCUUACCAAGGCUUUGAAGGGUAGCCGGCCUGAGAGGGUGACCGGCCACAUUGGGACUGAGAGACGGCCCAGACUCCUACGGGAGGCAGCAGGGGGGAAUAUUGCGCAAUGGGCGGAAGCCUGAUGCAGCAACGCCGCGUGCGUGAUGACGUCCUUCGGGUGGUAAACCGCUUUCGCCUGUGACGAAGCGUGAGUGACGGUAAUGGGUAAAGAAGCACCGGCUAACUACGUG